UACGUAGGGGGCAAGCGUUAUCCGGAUUUACUGGGUGUAAAGGGGGCGCAGACGGCGAUGCAAGCCAGGAGUGAAAGCCCGGGGCCCAACCCCGGGACUGCUCUUGGAACUGCGUGGCUGGAGUGCAGGAGGGGCAGGCGGAAUUCCUGGUGUAGCGGUGAAAUGUGUAGAUAUCAGGAGGAACACCGGUGGCGAAGGCGGCCUGCUGGACUGCAACUGACGUUGAGGCCCGAAAGCGUGGGGAGCAAACAGG
rnacentral:rRNA from 1 species